UAUUAUUUUAUCAUUAUUUUUAAUUAUAGACUAAUAUACCAAAGAGUGUCACUAAUAGAUGGGGUCAUUCUCUCUCAGUUUGGAAUGAGACACAGACCACUCACUGGAUAAUUGAGUUUGGAGGAAGGCCGAGAGGUGUUGGCUCAAUAAUCAAUGAUACAGCAUUUAUUGAAAUCAUAUCUAGUACUGGUGAUUUGGUAGUACAAUCAGUACUGGACAUUAAAGAAUAUCAGAAGAGAAGAAUACAAGAUGCUGUAGGGAAGUGGAUGGAGGAAGGGAGUAUUGAUCUAACUGUUACUCGUGUUAAUAUGCUUGGUGCUCCUGGAGC